UGUGUAUAGGACGCAAUAGGUGCCCUUACUUAAGGGAGAAUAGGGAAGAAAAUACGCGGGCCCGCCACUGUAGCCGGGGAGCCGUCGGUAGUCACUGAGCAUAUGCGCUUGGGAAGGCUACUGACACAUGGUUUUGAUCCGGGAGCCAGGAGACCUGCCUAUUGCACGAAAUACUCG
rnacentral:ncRNA from 14 species